GGACGAACGCUGGCGGCGUGCCUAAUACAUGCAAGUCGAACGGUCUUUUCUAUGGAAGCUUGCUUCCACUGAGAAGAUAGUGGCGAACGGGUGAGUAACACGUGGGUAACCUGCCCAUAAGAGGGGGAUAACAUCCGGAAACGGGUGCUAAUACCGCAUAGUUUUCUUGAUCGCAUGAUCGGGAAAGGAAAGACGGCCUUUGUGCUGUCGCUUAUGGAUGGACCCCGCGGCGUAUUAGUUAGUUGGUGAGGUAACGGCUCACCAAGACGAUGAUACGUAGCCGACCUGAGAGGGUGAUCGGCCACAUUGGGACUGAGACACGGCCCAAACUCCUACGGGAGGCAGCAGUAGGGAAUCUUCCGCAAUGGACGAAAGUCUGACGGAGCAACGCCGCGUGAGUGAAGAAGGUUUUCGGAUCGUAAAACUCUGUUGUCAGAGAAGAACAAGUUGGAGAGUAACUGCUCCAGCCUUGACGGUAUCUGACCAGAAAAGCCACGGCUAACUACGUGCCAGCAGCCGCGGUAAUACGUAGG
rnacentral:rRNA from 1 species